UGCAGUCGCGAGCUUGGCUCAGGCCACGCGGCGUGCUGUUGUUGGUGUUGGAGCCCGUUGAAGUUCAGACAUUUCAGUCAGGCUACGGUCCUGUAAGGUCUCCCAGUCUCUAUAAUGCUUUCCAUGCCCUUUAUCUGCCCCUUACAUCUUCAGCAACGUUGGUCUUUACUCAGAAAAUAUGUUGGCAUCAGCUCGUUUCUAAAUACUCGUCGUCUGCGACCAGUUAGCGGGAGCGCCGUGGGUAUGUUGACCCUCCAGCAAGGUGUUUGUCUUGCCAAGCGUCUUCGAGUCGUACAGGCUGUCAUUGGCCCAUCAUUCUGUAUGUCGUUUUGGCAUCAGCGCGGUUUUUUUUUGUCUGGUGGCAUAUCAUGAAUAAGCCCAUAUGGUCCACACAGAGUGGCGAACUGAAGGAAAGCAUGAAACUCAGGAAUAUCAGGCCUAUAGGCUGUAUGUGGCGUGUCCAAAUGGGUUCCAAAUGCGAUGAAUCCCAGUAGUUGGGCAAUUUACCCGGUGUCAAGACCACAAUGAAUGGUUCACGGGUUAAGAGCUGAACUCUCAGAUGGAGGUCUCAAAGCCUGGGCAAAGAAAAACAAUACUACAGCAUCUGCACAGUGAUAUAUCCCCACAGGGCUCGGUGGCUACUGUGGUGAGGAGAUAGGGGUCUGUGGUGGACCCCCUUGGGCGGCCCACAAAAAGCUGCCUCACCCCCUUCCCCUGCUUGCCGCUCGCCCCAUCUGGGUCCCGCAGUCACACCCUGUGGCAGAGCUGCGGUUAACUGCGGCAGCUGGCUGGUAAAGAGGCACAGUGAGGAUUCAAGGAUACACGUUCAAGUAGGAAAACUGCCAUUCACCAUUAUUACCACUAGAGGGUACUCAGCCACAGAGAGCUGAAAGAGGAGGGGGGGGACUGGAAGCUGGCAUUGACUAUGCUCCCAGGGGGUUUGUUCUUAUCUCCUUUACACGGUCAGCACUUUUUCACAGGAAGCCUGAGGGAGGCUGUGUGUGUGAGUGGGAGGGAUAAGGAGAGAUGUGGAUCUUAAUGUAAGUGGUUUUACAGAGAAAAAGGGCAACUGUGGGCCUUUGUCAGCUGUGUACUUGAAAGACGCCUUGUGACGUCAGGUAUUUCAUGCCUGCAGGGGCCUUUGUCCAGGUUGUUUAGUCUCUUUAUAAGACUACAAUGUGGUCUGUUUUAUUUUGUCUUUGACAAGAAAAAAAAAACAAAACUAUUAGACAUAAAAGACUUGCUCUGUCAGCAGCCACACCUUAGCUCCAUACAGAGGAAGAUUUACCUUGCAGUUUAUGUUACAUUAGUGUGUCAAAGCCUGUGGUGAAAAUCUGUCUGGUAUGUGGUGAAGAACUGCUGUGCUUGUGCAUGUGUCAUACUACAUGUCUAUAUGUAUUCUCGUAACUGAACCAUACUCUUGUUGUUCCUUUUUAAAAGGAAUCAGGAAACGUCUGUUGGGUUUGCUCAUAAUCCCAGGUGUGUGUGUGUGCACAGGAGACGGUGUGCACAAAUGUCUUUGUGUGAAAGUGAACUAGCAGGUUCCCUUUCAGAGCCAUAUAGCACAUCUAGGAGGAGUGAGAGGAGGUCUUUGAAGUGUUGGUUCUGCCAUCCGUCUCCGGCCCACUGCCUUUCUUUUCAUGCCAGCCGCUGCGGAGGCCAGGCCUGUUAAAGAGAAACGCCCCAACUGGCUCCUCCCUGCCAUGUUGUCAUGGUAAAAUGACAACAGUCAACGUGCCCCCACUGACAGUAAAGCUCCUCUCUGUUUUGAUUUUGGCUUUUGUUCCGCCUGUGCUGUCUCAAAACAGCAACUGAAGUGCACAGCCUACAUGCAAGAACCCAGAGUGCAGUAGAAACAACUGAGCAGAGAAGCAUAGAAGCAAAAGGCAAUUAACUUGCGGCCGACAUUAAUUGAUGUAUCUGAUCUGCCCACGCUGCAGGUGCUGGCUCUCUGUCCCUGGUUUUCUCUCUGAUCUAAACCAAGGUGUCUCCUUUACUCGCCAGAAGCCAUAGAGGAUGCUAUGACAUUCAGGUUUAACACUGGAGGAGGAAGAAAAUGAGGGGAGAUAUAUUGAUUGCCCUUAGCUGCUCCUUCAUAGCCUGUGUGCAUGGUUUGUGUUGGCUAAGCCCUCCAGCCUAAUGGCUUUUAGACUUCCAUUAGGUCGUUGCAGGCAGCUUGGUUUAAGUAAGUAACAAAAGGCUCUGUCAGAACGCUUUAAGCAUUAAUAAGACAGUCAGUGUUAGUUCUGCAGCCUGUCAGCUCUUCAGAAAUGCACAAGUCGAAAUCACAAAGCCAAAAGGGUGGUUUACUGUCGUCAUUUUGAGCAUUUCUCUGGCUGCGCUGUUUUUGGUAAGCCCUUAGCCGGAUUAGUUUGCAGACUUUGGGGAAUUUGUUCAAUUGAGCUGUGAAAGCUGUGGCUCACUCACCCUGUAAACUUGCAGUGUCCCUGGGCUCCUGCGCAGUAAAAGUCCCAGUCUCACGCUGACAAACAUGAAGAAGUGCCAGGAGUCUUGAACAUUUGUACAAUUCAUUUAACGAGGAGAGACCUAUGGCUCAAUACUGAGAAAGGGGUUCAAUAGGAAUGGGUUUAGAAGUGCAUCGUUUGGCAACAGAGCCGCAGACCUCAACUGGCAUGAAAGGCAGAGUCUGUGAGGGUUUUUUUUUUUUAUUCUCGACUUUUUUUGUUGUUAAACUGUUUUCUGGUUCUGCUUCUAAAGCCAUCUUGUUUUUAUAAAAGUUGUUUAUUAGGAGGAAGGUCUCUCUCUUUUGUGGAAAAAGGCGCUGUGGCCUACACUGUUUCAAAUCGCUGUAAUUAUUGGGUAGAUCUGGCUUUGAUGCAGCACACACUGGCUUUUCGAUAUGCAGACAGGAUGCACAUUUCUAAUAUAUGUAUAGGUUAACACAUAUGCCCAAAGACAUGCACAUACACACUGGCUGUACUUCACAUACGAGUCCAAAUCACAUUUGUUUGAUUCUUUUUCACCAGUCUGCCAGUGUAUACUGCUGGACUGACCCAUUUUGCCCAACAAACUCCUCUGCUUUCUGGAUACUGUGUGAUGUGUUUCCCCCCGGUCUGUCUGUGUUUAGUGCCACUGUGUCCCUGCAAGGCCUCAAAGUCCUGGGCCUUAAUGCAUCAGUUACCAUAUUUUUCCACCGGGUUGACUGUCGCUUGCUGGGAAGACUGCACGUUGUGUGUACGUGCGUGCUUACACUUGUGCCAUUUUUGGAAGCGUCCCUGUGUUCUCUCUGCACCAGCGCUCGAGCUACGGAAGCCUCCCGGGUCUGUUUCUCCUGCGGCUGGACCACAUACCCCAGAAUCUUGCUUUGGUUGGAAACAUAUCUGUUUUUUUUCCCAGCCAUCAUAAACACGACAAACUCCUCUACUGUCUCCCCAUCCUAUAUUAACAGGCUGUGUUUGGCCCUGAACUCACCAUCACAAGUCUGCUCUGGGUUGCCGCUGGUUACAGUAAAAAUCAACACCUUCUCUACUCCAGACUAAGACUUUUCAAUGUGUAGAUCCAGUUUCCCCCAUGUGUACUUUGUGUGCUCAGUCAGAGGGGUGUAUAUAUAUAUAUAUGUGUGUGUGUGUGUGUGUGUGUGUGCAAUGCUCAACUCUCUCACCUUCAAGGGCCUCAAACCACAAGCAUUUAAUUAACUUGAAAUCUGUAUGUUUCAGUCUCACUAGCUUGCAUUGUAGACCAGAUCCAGUUUGACAUUAUACAACAAUAAAUUAAAUGUCAUAACGUUUUGUCACCUUGGCUACUUCCAUCUUUAUUCUGUCGUUAUACCUCUGCAUUCGUUGGCAGUGUUUUUCCAGGAUUACCCCUUCACCAUCAGUGCCACUUUCUGAAUAUUUUAAAGCAGCUCCAAGACCAGUACGGAUCUAGACUGACUCCUUAUUGGCUGGCUGCUACUUGGUCUGCCAGCCAAGCAGGAAACAAUAGAAGGCCAGAACAAUGAGCUGGCUGCAGAUCAGUAGGGGUUCGCUUUGCCUCUCCCAGACGCUACGUUUUAUUUCCUUUUUGAUUACUCACGCCUGCCUGAUGAGCGGCACACUCGCACUCCUCUCUGUCUGCCUGCCCGUGAGAGAAAUCACAAAGAAAAGACUUUUUGUAGGAGACUGGUUUUGAUUUGGAGGCUGGAAUGCCUUUGUGAUAAUGUCGCAAGAUUUUUUGGCAGGGGUGUGAUAGAUGUGUGUGAGACAAAAGGGGAAAGGUUUUUUUAUGGGCAAGGGGGGUUAUGAUAUGUGUAAGCGCAUGAUUCAGACCCAUUCAGGUAUCAGAAACUACAUAUUUGAAAAUUGUGUGGUUUAGUGUGUUAGGGUGCUUUUCUCUGCUGAUUUAUGUCAGUUUCCACUGAUGGCCUUCCAGGAUCUGCCUAUAAACAGCCUUUAAACGAGGGAAUAGGAGUGCUGGCUCUGAAGUCCAAACUGUAUUGCCACCCAAGCGUGCAGAUCGCCUGCUGUGGGCUGGGUUCCCUUUGCCUGGCCCUCACUAGCUCCCACCACUGCUUGUCACCCCCCCAUCUCACCCCGCCACCCCAACCCUCAUCGCCAGGCCGGAGUGAGUGAGAUGGAUGGCUUAUGCUCCCUGGUGGACUUGUUUGAUGGAUGGUUUUUAAGGACUGGCUGUGUUUAUGUUCGGGUCUGCCGUGCCCCGCUGCAAGUGGCCUGCCAGAAGGCCGCACCUCAUAACGUGGCUGAAUACGCCAAGACAUCUCAGAACCCAAAUCCUCCUUGGCUCGCUCCACUGCUGCAGCUCCUGCUGAGGAAAACCCCCUCAUUACCAGGCCCUGAACGUAAAUGCUUCAUUUUCCAUCCCCCCACAGGCCCUCUUUGUUCCAUGGGCCAUUUGGUUGUUAUAUUUCAGCACUUAAAAGCAAUUAUUCCUAAAUAUGAAUGCUCCAUAACAGACGUCUCCAGACACUCCAAAGAUUUCUUCCUU